AAAGUCGUAACAAGGUUUCCGUAGGUGAACCUGCGGAAGGAUCAUUAUCGAAUUUUAUCCCCGGCUGUCGCGGCUCCGGCCUGCACGCCGGUGGAAAACGUCUCACACCUUCGUGCACCUUCUCGACGGUGGCCUCGGCCGCCGCCGCUUUAUAUCACAACCGUGUCAGAAUGUCUUACUAUGUUAAUCAUAACAACUUUCAACAACGGAUCUCUUGGCUCUC
rnacentral:misc_RNA from 1 species